rnacentral:lncRNA from 1 species
GUCUGGCUCUCGGACGCCUCUCUGUGACGUAAAAUAUCCGCGCCUGACUCGAGGAUAUUUACUGGGAGCAGCCAUUUUCCCACUUACUGCCGUACAGCGAGCGAAGGCUCUUUAUUCCGCCUUUCGUGGGAAGGCACAAGAUGAGAAGGUAUUGAAAACGAUCCUUUUCAUCCCAUUUCCAGGCCGCUUCAACCGCUGGGCCCCGACUUUGCAACAUCCGCCAGGGGCGGUACACAAACCGCUCACCUUCCUAGAAGCUCAUGCCUGCCCAGAUCUCUCUGCGGGAUGGGGAAGAAAGGGUCGCGUACAUUAAGGCACUUUGAUCCUAAGGCUAAAGAGAGGCUAAGUGGGCGCGGCCAUGUUAGAGUAAGUUCAACGGGGAGGGAAUCUGAGCCGAACGCGAGCAACAGUUGGAGGGGAACCGGCUCAUAUCCCGGGGAUGCUGGCUGAAAGGGAGCUUUAUGGAGGAAGCCGCAUUUGAGGCCAGUCUGGGGUUAAGAGAACGGCUGAAGAAGGCAUUGCUCAGAGACCCAACAGAUUGAAGUGACAAGUUCCCGACGCAAGACCCACUACUCAUAAUUAUACAGCCAGGCUCAGAGCGCCUUCAAACCAAGGGGAUUGAGCAUUCAUUCAUUUAUCCAGCAGAUGUUUAUAAAAUGCCAACUGUGUGUCAGACACUGUUCUGCAGGCUGGGGAUACAAACGCUAUAAACACAGACAAAAAUACCCUUCUUUAUGGAGUUUUACAUUCUACUGGAGAUAUCACAUGAAGUUAUGGUUUGACUUCCUCAUUACAGCAAGUGCUAUGAUUGCCAUCUACAAUGUGACCUACAAUGCAACCUGGUUGUGUUGACCUACAAUAGGACCUGGAAGGCAGAGCAUUGAACCAAAGAUGAUUAUUCUCAAGUCUUAAGAUCUAAUGGAAUUUGCUUUGCUGGGUUUUGGAUUUGUUUGGGACCUAUCACCCCUUUCUUCCUUCCACUUUCUCUCCUUUAGAAUGCGAAUGUCUGCCCUAUUCCUGUCCCACCACUGUAUUUUGGAAGCAUGUGAAUUUUCUGGUUUUAAAGGUUCACAGCUGGAGAGGAAUUUUGCCUCAGGGUAAAUUGUACCUCAAGUCUCACCCAUGUCUGAUUUAGAUGAGACUUUGGACUCUCGACUUUAGAGUUGAUGUUGGAAUGAGUUAAGAUUUUGGGGACUGUUGGAGUGGAAUGCAUGUAUUUUGUAUGCAAGGACAUGAAUUUGGGAGGGUGCUAGGGGUGGAAUGUUAUAGACUGAAUGUUUGAGUCAUGUCAUAUUCAUAUGUUGAAGCCCUAACACCCAGUGUGGUUAUAUUUGGGGAUGAGGCCCCUAAGAAAGUAAUUAAGGUUAAAUGAGGUCAUAAGAGUGGGGGCUCUGAUCCAAUAAGUUUAGUUAUCUUAUAAGAAGAGACACCAGAGAACUCUCAGUGCAAACUGAGGAAAGGCCAUGUGAGAACGUAAGAAAGCAGCUGUCUGCAAGCCAGGAGGAGGAUCCUCACUAGAAACCAAAUCUGCUGGAACGUUGAUCUUGGACUUCUAGCUUCUAGAAUUGUGAGAAAAUAAAUUUCUGUUGUUUAAGCCAUCCACUCUGUGAUAUUUUGUUUUGGCAGCCAGAGCAGUCUUAAUACAGUGGUGAAUUACAUUGUUUAGAAAAUU